rnacentral:rRNA from 1 species
UACGGAGGUGGCAAGCGUUGUUCGGAAUUACUGGGCGUAAAGGGCGCGUAGGCGGUCCUUUAAGUCUUGUGUGAAAUCCCUCGGCUCAACUGAGGAACUGCACGGGAUACUGGAAGACUUGAGUUCGGGAGAGGGAAGCGGAAUUCCGGGUGUAGUGGUGAAAUGCGUAGAUAUCCGGAGGAACACCAGUGGCGAAGGCGGCUCACUGGCCCGGUACUGACGCUGAGGUGCGAAAGCGUGGGGAGCAAACAGG